rnacentral:rRNA from 1 species
AACGUAGGAGACAAACGUUAUCCGGAGUUACUGGGCGUAAAGGGCGUGUAGGCGGUUUGUUAAGUCUGGCGUGAAAGCUCUCGGCUAAACCGGGAGAGGUCGUUGGAUACUGGCGAACUAGAGGAUGGUAGAGGCGUGUGGAAUUCCGGGUGUAGUGAUGAAAUGCGUAGAGAUCCGGAGGAACACCAGUGGCGAAGGCGACACGCUGGGCCAUACCUGACGCUAAAGCGCGACAGCAUGGGGAGCAAACGGG